AAGUGUAUUCCCUCAGAUUUUUUUUCUCGUUUUCUUCAGUUUGUAUAUACUCUAUCCUUUGUUUUUUUUGUUGUUUUUUUAAGGAAAUAUCUGUUAGUGAGAUAUAUAUAUAUAUUUUUUUCCUGUUGGAAAUUUUCAUCAAGACGAGAAAUUCUUCGGAGCAAUUACAGACUGAAGCCGCAUUCCCGAGAUCUUCCCUUGGAGCUGCCGCGCCCGAGGAUGGGGCGGCGGUCCCGGCGGCGCCCAGCUCCGUGAGAGACGCCUGAGGUCGACCUCGAAGGACGAGCGACGCGACGAAGGCCAACAUGUCGGUGAUCUGCCAGACCUUCGUGCAGAACGCCUGGAGGAAGGACCUCUGCUCCAACUGCUUCAAGUCGAAGGACGAGCAUGG